AUAUUCUGUUCCUAUCUUCAGAAGUUAUUUAUACCUAUGCAAUACCUUCGCUCAGGUUAAAGAAUGGAAUACUAGUCUUGCAUCAAAUAUAUAUUACAUAUCUAUUCGAUGUUUAUCACCAGAAGUUAGUUCUACCUUUGCAGUACCUCUGCUCUACAUACCUCCUCGCUGGUUAAAGAAUGGAAUAUAAAUCUCAU